rnacentral:rRNA from 1 species
AGUGAACGCUGGCGGUAGGCCUAACACAUGCAAGUCGAACGGCAGCACAGUAAGAGCUUGCUCUUACGGGUGGCGAGUGGCGGACGGGUGAGGAAUACAUCGGAAUCUACUUUUUCGUGGGGGAUAACGUAGGGAAACUUACGCUAAUACCGCAUACGACCUACGGGUGAAAGCAGGGGAUCUUCUGACCUUGCGCGAAUGAAUGAGCCGACGUCGGAUUAGAUAGUUGGCGGGGUAAAGGCCCACCAAGGCGACGAUCCGUAGCUGGUCUGAGAGGAUGAUCAGCCACACUGGAACUGAGACACGGUCCAGACUCCUGCGGGAGGCAGCAGUGCGGAAUAUUGGACGAUGGGCGCGAGCCUGAUCCUGCCCUACCGCGUGGGUGAAGAAGGCCUUCGGGUUGUACAGCCCUUUUGUUGGUAAAGAAAAGCAGCAGUUUAAUACCCCGCUGUUCUGACGGUACCCAAAGAAUAAGCACCGGCUAACUUCGUG